ACAGCUUCACUCCCGAAGCGAACCGUCCGUCAGGGCAGCCUGGCAAACAAACCCUCUCCUGACGGCUUCUCUGCGCCCAGCCUAGUCUUUGCUUUUUAUAGACAUGGCUUCAUGUCAUUCUAGUUUGCUUCACCCCUCCACCCCAAGAGUGUAACCGCAGCUAAGCAGCGGCUGUUAAACUCUCCACAACAGCAAGAAAAUUCCCGAGCACUUUUCCCAGCUCAACACCCGACUCCCUCUGCACUCCACUGCAUUACAAACCCCACCGACUUACAGAGCAAGCCAACUCCGAGCUCGCUCGCACCCCGGACCCUCACUGCCGCCUGGCACCGCUCCGAGCGCCGGGGAGAGGAAGAAGCGCACGGAAGCGUAGAUGUUCAUUGUCUGUCCAAGACUAGUUUUAGUUUUCUUGAAUGACCUUUGUAAACUGAAGACUGGAUUUCAACUACAGCUUUUAAAGGAAUUUAAUUGGAAGGGCAGUUGGUGACCUUUGCUGUUCUACAGGCUGGCAUAAAACACACCACCUGUGAGUAUAAGCCCAUUAUUUGCCUGGCUUCAAACCCGAUGCCUCAAAACUAGCCUAACAGUUUUGAAACGGAUACGACUGAUGAGUUGGAAUUGUUAAGACACACAGCAAUGACUGAAAGCAUUCGAACUUUUAUUGUGAUAGAAACUGCACUUUUAACCUUGGCAGUGCUGCUGACUUACAAUAUUAAGAAAAACCUUAAAUUUUGUAGGGGAAAGCCAUACAAUUUGCUGCACACUGAACUCAGUAAUUCAAUCUCAUUAGACUCAUUAAUUCGGGUAUUAUUAUGAUGAAGUAAUGCACUAAAAUGACUGUUCCUACAUAAUUACCCUUUCCAAAUCGUUCUCCUGAAAAACAGGUUCUUACUUAGCAGCUAGAUCCAAACACCAGCCUCCUCCCACUUGAUAAAACCUGCACAAGUGUCCUGCAUAAGUACAGGAGUGGUAUAAACUCUACACGCUUGUCUGCAGGAGCAGCUCAUUCACCAAGUUGCCUUUAGCUAAAUCUAGAAAUGCUGAUUUUAAUUCCAGUAUCCUAUUGUACACAGGAAAAAAGCCAAGAAAUCACAGACUCAUAGAAUGAU